rnacentral:lncRNA from 1 species
CCACCUUUCUCUCUUUUCUCUCUUUACUUUCCUUUCCCAAUUUCCAAGUGAGUUGGGAAAGGAUUUGAGAGCAGCCCAUUCAUCCAUUAGAGGAGCAUUUGGGCUUGAUUGCUAUUGCAAGGAGUGAAGCACAAACAAGGAGCAAGGAAGCUGUGCCACGGAGGACCAACAGAAAUGACUUUGCAUUUAUUUCCCUUUACUCUUUUAAUUUCUUGUUGUUCUAUUUAAGAAACAUGUUUGUAACUAAAUUUUAUGUUUUUGAUAAUUUAAUUUUCAUAGAUUAGAUUAUUUAUGUUGUUAGUGAUGUUAUGUGUCUUG